ensembl:lncRNA
GUAAGCACACUUGGCAGACUCAGGGCGGGAGCCGGGCCGAUCCCGGGGACGCGGAGGUGCAGGGCGCCCCCUCGCGCUCCUCGCGCGCCACGGGGCUGGCGGGUGGCGCGCCCGCCGCGGGCAGGUCCUCUCCAGCCCCCUCCUCCUUUUCGCUAGCGCUCCCCUCCCUCUCUCCCCUCGCUCCCAACUCCUCCCCCAUCGCCUCUCCCUCCCACCUUCGGCCCCCUCGGUCUCCUCCUCUCUGCUCUCAGCCGCGCGCCGGGUCGGGAGCUAGUUGGAGCGCGGGGGCUGCCGCCCGAGCCCAGCUCGGCGGAGCCGGGCGGGUCGGCGGCGCGUCGGACCGCUGCUGGCGGACCGGAGCGUGCCGGCGCGGACCCGGGUCGCGGCUGCACUGGAGCGCCGAGUGAGGGUCGAGGGCGAUUCCUGCGCGGCGGCCCCAUUCCCAGACGGGCCGCGAGUCCUCCGGGUUCCUCUCUGCCGCUCCCCGCCGCCGGGAACCGGGAGCCGCUUGGAACCCGGCACCUGCGCCAGCAACCCGGAGCCCCUCUCCUUACAGACACACCCGCUGUGUGUUACUCCCCUAGAGGAAGUAAGGAAAUAGGAGAGAAAGUAGCAGAAGUGGGAGCCCCUCCCGGAGAGUGGAGAACAGCGUGGGCGCGUUGAGAGGCAUGUGAGUAAAAACUGCCUUUCAUAUGGGGCUGCAGCACUGUGCCUUGAUUUCUUGCCAGCCGCUCUGUCCGCAGACUGAUGGCCCCACCACGGGCCCACAUCUCCUGCAGCCUCCUUGAAAACUGGGUGAUGUCGAUGCAGGGGACAGCACUGGGGAGCUCGCGGGUCCUCUGCCCUGAGGCCUGAGCCACAUCAAAGGUGCACCUGUGGGGGUGCGCAGACUGUGCCUGCCUCACCCCCAUCCUCCGCCCCCACCUGAAGUCCUGGGUAGCCAUAGUCCCACUCCAGCUGGAGGUCCCAGCACCCCCCACCCCCACAGCUCCUGAACACAGGGCCCAGGGAAACCCCUGCCCUGGGGGUCUACGUCUCCACUGAGGGAGACCCCUGCCCUGGGGUCUACGUCUCCACUGAGGGAGACCCCUGCCCUGGGGGUCUACGUCUCCACUGAGGGAGACCCCUGCCCUGGGGUCUACGUCUCCACUGAGGGAGACCCCUGCCCUGGGGGUCUACGUCUCCACUGAGGGAGACCACUGCCCUGGGGUCUACGUCUCCACUGAGGGAGACCCCUGCCCUGGGGGUCUACGUCUCCACUGAGGGAGACCCCUGCCCUGGGGUCUACGUCCCAACUGAGGGAGACCCCUGCCCUGGGGUCUACGUCUCCACUGAGGAAGACCCCUGCCCUGGGGUCUACGUCUCCACUGAGGGAGACCCCUGCCCUGGGGGUCUCCGUCUCAACUGCGGCUCAGAUGGCCACGCCUCUCCCCUGGCCUCUAAAACAGACCCUUCUCCAAACACCUGCAACCAGGUUGGCUGCUCUCUGCUUUUCGUCUCAUCUGCCGGGUUUCCAAGGGUGUGGUCUCUGCCUAUGGCCUCCAUGUCACCUCCUUGCCUGGUUCUCUCUUUAGUCUCUUAGCCUCUGAUUGCUGUCACUUUUCCCGAUGGCUUUCUCUGAGGGCUGCUGGUCACUCAGUCCAGUGGCCAGUUCCCAGGGCUCGGUCCCCCAGGAUACCCCCCCAUUUCUGACACCCUGUCCUUCUCGGCUUGCUCCUGACCAGUCUGCCCCCUGCUCUCAUGCUCUGCACUCCCUCAGGCAUGCCCCUCCCAUUCUGAUCCCCUCCAUCGGUCAGGGCCAGGACAAGCCUGCCUGGUGCACAGGCCCCUUCUCCUGGGCCCCAGGCAGUGGAGGGCCUCGCACACAACCCUUUAGCAGAUACCUGCAGUGUGCCUACAGGGGCUGAAUGCUCUUCUAGCCCUCAGGAAGGGAAAGAACUGGCAAGUCCUGCCCCCAUGGAGUUCAUAUCCUAAGCAGCAGAGGCAGAGGAAAAACAGCGAACAGAGUGGAUCUUAUAAUGUGUGAGAAGCUAAAUAACAUGUGGUAGGAUGUUGUUCUAACUAUUUCAAUUUGAAUAAUUCAAAUUUGAAUAUAUCCCAAAGCAGAGAGAAUACACAAAUUCCCAUUUAUCCCUUACUUUGCUUCAACAGUCAUCAAUAUUUUGCCCAUCUUGUUUCAUCUAUUCUCCCCCUCAACUUUUAUUUAUCCCGGUGUAUUUUAAAAUAAAUCCCAGACAUGGUGCCAAGUUUUAUCUACCGAUACUUCAGUGUGCAUCUCAACUGAUUAAGAUGUAUUUAUAUUGUAUGUAAACACAGUGCUAUUGUCAAGCCUAAGGAAACGAACAGUGUAUUCUUCUGAGACUGUUUCACUCUUCUGUGUGUGGCAGUCUUGGCUCACCAGGUGUUGGAAGCCCCUUGAGGGCAAGGAUCAAUGUGAUAAGAAAAAGGACCCAAAGCUUGGAAACAAGGCAAAAAAAAAAAAAAAAGAAAAAAGAAAAGACCAACUCCAUGUCCUGGCGACUUCCUACUGCAGCCUAUCUGGUCCCCCCCAGAGUUAUUUAACUCUCCUGGAGGAUGUACUUUUGCUUGACUUUCAACUUAUUAUUAAGAGCCAGAUUGUAUGAUGUUAGAUGUUAACAUGUAGAUUGAAACAAAGAUCUGUAACCAGUAAAGACGCAAAUGAUUUCUGUCUAAUAGAGAAGAUAACUUCAAAAGUUUUUACUUCUUGCCCUGCAGGACAUUAACCAGUAUUGUUUCCACUUCACAAACUCAUUUCUGCAUUUCUUUCUUACUGAUUGUAUAAACCGCUAUUCUUCAAAUUCUCUUUGGAACUCUGAAUUAAAUUAUAUUUAUAUGACAGCAUUUUGAAAACUAUACUUCGACAGUAGCCUGUACAUUUUCUGUGGCUUUUCUUAGUCUAGUCCACUGCCUGGCACAGACUAGAUGUUUGUGAAAUUGAAUUGUACUUGACUUGGUAUCUUAUUAUGAGGGGGGAGAAGCAAGGUUUUAAAUUGAGCAGUGCCUAGCAGAUGUUACAGAACUCUGGCGUGAGGUUGGAGGUGGAGAAGGCAGAUGUCCCAGGAGAGUAAGGAGAGGGUCAGAUGCCCGUGGAUGUGGGGCCAUCCAGAAAGCACCUGUCUACCCUCUGCUCCUGGGAGCAAAGCCCUGCUCCAGGCCUAACACUGAGUGGGCAGGAAGGAAGGAGCAAGAACAAGACCUCUGUGUGUGUGUGUGUGUGUUGUGGAUGUGCCCCAGAGUGUAUUCAGGCUUGCCAGCUUGCCCCCUGCUCAGAGGGCAAGGGUAACAUUGUAGGAGUUCUUUCAUGUCUACAAUUACCGCUCUCUGCUUCCUCAUGCCUUUCUGGGUGGGGAGUUCUCCUUUAUGUCUUAUCCCAAUUAUUCUAUUAUAGUUUAGGCUGGGGAUGCAACGGGAGGAAUAACUGAACUCUCAGUAUUCCGUGUGGCACCAGCCAGGUCAAGCUAGCAACUUAGAGGGUGGCUAACAAAAAGGGAUUUUUAGUUCAUUUAAAGGUUGGAUAUGUUCAGUAUUUUAUUUAAAUUGGCAUGGAAAAGCUUUAAUAACAUUGUUUUCUACUGGGAGCUAGAGUAACAUUCGGUGCUUCCCUGAUGGCUCAGAUGAUAAAGAAUCCGCUAGGUAAUGCAAGAGACCCACUGGUUCUAUCCCUGGGUCGAGAAGAUCCCCUAGAGAAGGAAAUGGCUAC